UACGGAGGGGGCUAGCGUUGUUCGGAAUUACUGGGCGUAAAGCGCGCGUAGGCGGCUUUGCAAGUUAGAGGUGAAAGCCCGGAGCUUAACUCCGGAACUGCCUUUAAAACUGCAUCGCUUGAAUCAUGGAGAGGUUAGUGGAAUUCCGAGUGUAGAGGUGAAAUCCGUUGAUAUCGCAAGGAACACCAAGGGCGAAGGCAGGUAACUAGGCAUUUCUUGACACUGAGGAACGACAGCUAGGGGAGCGAAAGGG
rnacentral:rRNA from 1 species